UACGUAGGGUGCAAGCGUUGUCCGGAAUUAUUGGGCGUAAAGAGCUCGUAGGCGGUCUGUCACGUCGGCUGUGAAAACCCGAGGCUCAACCUCGGGCCUGCAGUCGAUACGGGCAAACUAGAGUACUGCAGGGGAGACUGGAAUUCCUGGUGUAGCGGUGAAAUGCGCAGAUAUCAGGAGGAACACCGGUGGCGAAGGCGGGUCUCUGGGCAGUAACUGACGCUGAGGAGCGAAAGCGUGGGGAGCAAACAGG
rnacentral:rRNA from 1 species